rnacentral:piRNA from 1 species
UCUUGCUGGUCAAGAGCGGACGCGAC